UUUUUUAAACUUAUUUGAACUCCAUACUUUUUGUGUGUUCAAAAUGCACCAUUCAAAGGCACAUCACAAAAUUUCAACAAUUUCCGACUUAAUUUGGUAUAUUUCUUGAAUUUACUUUUUUUUGAGCUAGUUGACCCUGAAAUUGAAAAGCACUACAAAUGAACUCUGAAAAUGUUGAAAGUUGGCAUGCUAUCAUCAUUUCACCCACAUAGCAUGUGUUAAAAAGUUGAGAGGGCUACGACAAAGACUGGAUGUAGUUCGUGUACAAAACGGACAAUCUCUCUCGAAGUAGCAGGGUUUCGAACGAGAACUCAUGUGUUACAAAGGGAUUUCAUUUUUUAAAACUUAUUUGAACUCCAUACUUUUUGUGUGUUCAAAAUGCACCAUUCAAAGGCACAUCACAAAAUUUCAACAAUUUCCGACUUCAUUUGGUAUAUUUCUUGCAUUUACUUUUUUUUGAGCUAGUUGACCCUGAAAUUGAAAAGCACUACAAAUGAACUCUGAAAAUGUUGAAAGUUGGCAUGCUAUCAUCAUUUCACCCACAUAGCAUGUGUUAAAAUGUUGAGAGGGCUAUGAAAAAAACUGGAUGCACUUCGUGUACAAAACUGACAAUCUCUCUCGAAGUAGCAGGGUUUCGAACGAGAACUGAUCUCUUACAAAGGGAUUUCAUUUUUUUUUACUUAUUUGAACUCCAUACUUUUUGUGUGUUCAAAAUGCACCAUUCAAAGGCACAUCACAAAGGGAUUUCUUCUUCUCUCAUAUAUGGUGGACACUAGCUCACCUGAUUUUUCAACCGUCGAUGAUGGUCGCUACUCCUACUUCCCCUAGUGCAUAACCAAUAUCUAGCACAAGGAGAAGAAGGAGAAGUGAUUGUUUUAAUCAAAAACAGAUCUGUUACAAAAGGAUUUCAUUUUUUGAACUUAUUUGAACUGAAGACUUUUUGCAUAUAUAUGUGGUCGAAAUGCAUGAUACCAUGAAGUUAGAAAGGGCUAAACCAUUCAAAAGUAGGAAAUGAAGUUAGAAAGGGCUAAAACAUUCAAAUUUGGAAACUAUAAUGGCACAAACAGAAAUUAGACAUAUAUAAAUUGGUCCAAGAAGUACAUGAUACUAGUCCAAACAGUACAUAAUAAUAGCUACAAUAGAUAUAUAUACAAGUGUUCGACGUUAAGAACACUACUCGUCUGAAUCAUCUGAAUCAGAAUGUCCACCUUCCUCGAGGGGAUAUAGGUGACGCUGGCCAUAGUGGAUGACUCGAAUCUUGCGGUACAACUCGUAUGAAACAUAUGCAUCUUUUGCUGCAUACUCAAUGUUGAUAUCAUCAAGUGGGCCCUUCUCCCAAAGUCUGUGCUGAGACCUUGGGAAACUGGUCUUAUAUCAGCAUAUGAAUCGUCGAUCAAGGCAACUGCCAUACGAGCCAUCGAAGUCCUGUCAUGUUGAAGCUUGAAUAUCGUUUGGAUAUCAACGAGGCAACCAGCUGGUAUCUCAAUAUCGAAGCUGUGCCUCAUCUUCAGCCUGUCGUUCCUUAUGUCAACGGAAGCAAAAGUGACGCCGCUGCGAAGGAACUCCAUGAGUCCUGGACAAUGCUUGUCACUCCUGCAACAGAAACAAAUUAAAAUGGACCAAAUGUUACAUACUGCUGCAAUAAGGAAACAUGUUUCACUACAAGUAAAUAGAAACUUAUCUUUAGGAUUCAUAUAGCACAUAUGCAAUGGAACCUAGAGAUAGAUUAUGAACCUACUGCUGCAAUAAGGAAACAUGUUUCACUACAACUAUUUGAAGGGAACCAACUAUGAUAGAAACAAAUAAACUUAUACUUGGAAUUCACUAUGAUAGAUUAUGGACAUUAUGCAUAAUAUGCAAACAAAAGAAAGCUUGUUAACUAGUAAAUCCAAACUACAAACUAAGUCUUAUCGGAUUGACAAAAUUCGAUCCAAUGUGAAUUAUAAAUGAACACAAAUAAAUCAAAUGUACUCCACACAUACUACACUACUAAAUCAAAUGUACAAAUACACAAAAUCAAAUGUACUACACUACUAAAUCAAAUGUAUUCCACUACUAAAUCAAAUGUACUACACUACUAAAUCAAAUGUACUACACUACUAAAUCAAAUGUAUUCCACACAUACUACACUACUAAAUCAAAUGUACAAAUACACAAAAUCUACUACGCUACUUAAUCAGAUACACAAAUACACAAAAUCCAUGUGAACGUGGGAGUAGUGACCCUAGGGGAGGGAUUAUCUUGGAUCAAAGAAAGCCUCAAAACUUACUUCGCCCAUUGGAAGAUCAAGACAUGGCUUGCAAAGCAUAUUUGGAUGACGGCAACACCACGUUGAUCGGCCGUGUACUCCAGAUCAAGCCCGAAGAACUUCUCAUGAUCCGGUGCGUGGUUAAACCAUCGUUCCUUCAACUGUUCAAGGAAAUACGGCACCUCCGUGCUCAGGUUCGUGUACACGACACAGAGCUUUGUCGCGCCAUGCACGACCACCUCACGAAAGAUAGUUGGCAUGGUGGAAGAAGAGAAGGGAAGAAGAGAGGAGAAGAACAGAGAGGGCGACGCGAGAGAGAAGAAGAACAGAGAGGGCGACGCGAGAGAGAAGAAGAACAGAGAAAUGGCGACUGUACACUUCUGUUCGUGCUUUUCAUCGCCCGAAACGACGCGGGAUACAAACCGUUUGGGCCAUUAAUCCCGGUUUGAGCCACCAACCGGGACUAAAGAGGUAUACCAAACGGUUGCCACCACUACGGCAGGCCACGUGUUAGGCUUUUAGUCCAGGGUUCAACCACCAACCGGGACUAAAGAGGUAUGCCAACGGUCGCCCCACUACGGCAGGCCACGUGUUAGUCCUUUAGUCCCGGGUUGAGCCACCAACCGGGACUAAAGAGGUAUACCAACCGCCGCCACAAUGACGGCAUGCCACGUGUUAGGCCUUUAGUCCCGGAUUGAGCCACCAACCGGGACUAAAGGGGGAUACGAACGGUUGCCACCACCACUGCCCGCCGCGUAGCCCUUUAGUCCCGGUUUGGGACACGAACCGGGACUAAAGGCUCCUUACGGCCCGGGACUAAAGCCUCGAGGGAGGCAUUGAGAAUUGGGGCGACGUGGCCGGGCCUUUAGUCCCGGCCCAGAGGCACUCCAGGACUAAAUGGUCCAGGCCAAAGGCCCGUUUUCUACUAGUGCCCCCUGGCCGCACCUAGGGGGCUUGUGGGCUCCCUGCUGGCCCACUGGCUCCCCUCUUCUGCUAUAUGAAGGGUUUCGUUCCGAAAGAAAUCAGGAGGAGGCUUUUCGGAGGAUUCGCCGCCGCCACGAGGCGGAACUCGAGCAGAACCAAUCUAGAGCUCCAGCAGGACGAUCCUGCCGGGGAAACUUCCCUCCCAGAGGGGCAAAUCGUCGCCAUCGUCAUCACCAACACUCUUCUCAUCGGAGGGGACUCGUCACCAUCAACAUCUUCAUCAGCACCAUCUCAUCUCCAAACCCUAGUUCAUCACUUGUAACCAAUCUCCGUCUCGCGACUCCGAUUGGUACUUGUAAGGUUGCUAGUAGUGUUAAUUACUCUUUGUAGUUGAUGCUAGUUGGAUUACUUGGUGGAAGAGUUUAUGUUCAGAUCCUUGAUGUGUUGGGGAAUGUCGCAUGGGAAACAAAAAUUUUCCUACGCGCACGAAGACCUAUCAUGGUGAUGUCCAUCUACGAGAGGGGAUGAGAGAUCUACGUACCCUCGUAGACCGUACAGCAGAAGCGUUAGAGAACGCGGUUGAUGUAGUGGAACGUCCUCACGUCCCUCGAUCUGCCCCGCGAACAAUCCCGCGAUCAGUCCCACGAUCUAGUACCGAACGGACGACACCUCCGCGUUCAGCACACGUACAGCUCGACGAUGAUCUCGGCCUUCUUGAUCCAGCAAGAGAGACGGAGAGGUAGAAGAGUUCUUCGGCAGCGUGACGGUGCUCCGGNNNNNNNNNNNNNNNNNNNNNNNNNNNNNNNNNNNNNNNNNNNNNNNNNNNNNNNNNNNNNNNNNNNNNNNNNNNNNNNNNNNNNNNNNNNNNNNNNNNNUGCAGGCAGACGACAAAGAAAGUGGCCGUUAGGGGGGAGAGAGGGGCUGCGGGGUGGGCCGCCCAUGCUCUUUGCCGUCUGCCUGCAUGCUCUUUGUCGUGAGCUGGCAGACGGCAAAGAGCUGGCUGAUGGCAAAUAGUACCUUUGGCAUCAGCGUGCGCUUUGCCGUCUGGUUUCUGGUAGCUGAUGGCAAAGAGGGUCUUUGCCAUCAGCCAGCAGACGGCAAAGAAGCAGCAGAUGGCAAAUAACUGUUUUCCAGUAGUGAAUGGGUACACUCACAUCUUAGUCGCUGUUGAUUAUGUCACUAAGUGGGUAGAAGCUAUCCCCACUAGAAAUGCUGAUCAUCACACCUCUAUUAAGAUGCUUAAAGAAGUCAUUUUCCCAAGGUUUGGAGUCCCUAGAUAUCUGAUGAGUGAUGGCGGUUCACACUUCAUUCAUGGUGUUUUCCGCAAGAUGCUUGCUAAGUAUUAUGUCAACCGUAGGGUUGCAUCUCCUUAUCAUCCUCGGUCUAGUGGUCAAGUGGAGUUGAGUAAUAGGGAGAUCAAAUUGAUCUUACAAAAGACUGUUAAUAGAUCUCGAAAGAAUUGGUCUGGUAAACUUGACGAUGCAAUAUGGGCUUAUAGGACUGCUUAUAAGAAUCCCAUGGGCAUGCCGCCGUAUAAAAUGGUUUAUGGUAAGGCCUGUCAUUUACCUCUUGAGCUAGAACACAAGGCUUAUUGGGCAAUAAAGAGCUUAACUUCGAUUUCAACCUUGCUGGUGAGAAGCGGUUGUUUGAUAUCAGCUCAUUAGAUGAAUGGAGGGCCCAGACAUAUGAGAAUGCCAAGUUGUUCAAGGAAAAGGUUAAGAGAUUGCAUGAUAAAAGAAUACAGAAACGAGAGUUCAAUGUAAGUGAUUAUGUCCUGCUAUACAAUUCUCGCUUAAGAUUCUUCGUAGGCAAGCUUCUCUCUAAAUGGGAAGGUCCUUACGUUGUCGAGGAAGUAUAUCGUUCCGGUGCCAUCAAAAUCAAUAACACGGAAGGAAAUUUUCCUAGAGUGGUAAAUGGGCAAAGAAUCAAGCAUUAUAUCUCUGGUACACCCAUAAAUGUUGAGACCAAUAUCAUCAAUAUCAUAACUCCAGAGGAGUACAUAAGGGAUGUUUAUCAGCCUGUUUCUGACCCUGAAAACGAAGAGGUAUGUGUUUCGGUAAGUAAUUGGACUCCGAAGCUUUUCCAAUAGGAAAUUUCCUCCGUUUUGGAAUUUUUGGAAAAUUAGAAAAAUAAAAGCAGUCCGGAGAGCGCACGAGGCAGCCACAAGCUUGGUAGCCGCCACCUACCCCCCUGGCGGCGGCUACAGGGCUUGUGGGCACCUCGUGUGCCUCCCGGACUCCGUUUUCUUGCGGAGCACUCCUUCUGGUCCAGAAAAAAUCAUUAUAUAUACGACUGAGGGUUUUGAUCUCCGUAUCACGCAGUUUUCCUCUGUUUUCAUUUCGAGCCUGUUUCUGUUGCAGAUCUAGAUCAUCAUGACUUCCCCAAAAGCUCCUAAGGACAAGAUCUUCGAUAAGGUCAUCAAUCCCGAUCUCACGGAAGUGCUGAAACACCCUCAAUCUAUCAAGAUGAGCGAGGGGAUGUUGCACAUCCGUGAUGUUGAGGGGCCUAAGAAGAUCGGAAGCAUGGAGACGAGGGUCGAAGCAAUGGAGCAACAAGUCUUCAAGUGCCAAGGGAUGGUGGAGCGUGGACUCAACGCCAACCACAUGAUGAUCACGGAGUUCACCAGCAAGCACAAGAUGGAUGCCAUUGACAUUGGGAAACAUCUCUCCAGGCUCUAUGACAGGGUUGAUCAACUUCAGGGCCAGAUCUAUGUCCUGCAGAACCAAAACUGUGAGUAUGAGUAUAGAUUUAAAUCAAUACGGUUGGUUGCAGAUUUGAGGAUUCCGGCGACUCGUUCAUCCUGCCAUGAUGGAGCACCUAUGCCUUGGAAGACGGAGGAUCAGACUACCACAACAACUCCACCACCACCACCACCAAAGGAAGACAACUAAGCAUUGGUAUGGGCAAUCCCCUUGGCUUUUGCCAAGCUUGGGGGAGUUGCCCUGGUAUCGUAUCACCUUUAUAUCUUUUGCUUUUACCUUUGUUUUAGUUCUUUCCUUUUUAGUUUUUUAUUUCUUCUCUUAGUGGAAUAAGUCUUUAGUGUUUAGUUUGAGUCUUUUUCUUUGUGUCUCCCCCGAUGUAUUCGAGCUUGCGAGCUAUAUAAUAAAGAGUAUCUUAGUCAAGGGCUUUGUUUUGUGCCAUGAUCAAAAGUAUGAAAAGAACGAUAGCAUGAAAGAUCAUGAGAUGAUCUUAUGGAAAGUGAUAGCUUCACAUAUAACAAGUAUGAUGAUUGAAACUUGUUGAGAACAAACCAACAUAGACCUCAGUCAUUGUUGCAAUUAAUAAGAAGUAAUAAGGAAAGAGAGGUUCACAUAUAAAUAUAUCAUCUUACACACUUUCUAUAAUUGUGAGCACUCACCAAACUAUUACAUGCUUAGAAGUAAAUGUUGGACAAGGAAGACAACAUAAUGAAUUGUGUUUGCUUGGUUCCAAACAAUGUUAUAUGAUUAGAGAUCCCUUAGCAUGUGACGAUUGCUUCCACCUCAUAUUAGCCAAAACUCCCGCACCAAGUAAAGAUACUACUUGUGCAUCCAUAAACCUCCAACCCAGUUUUGCCAUGAGAGUCCACCAUACCUACCUAUGGAUUGAAUAAGAUCCCUCAAGUAAGUUGUCAUCGGUGCAAGCAAUAAAAAAUGCUCUCUAAUAUGUAUGAUCUAUUAGUGUGUGGAAAAUAAGCUUUAUACGAACCCGUGAUGAGGAAGACAUAAAAGCGAUAGACUGCAUAAUAAAGUUCUUUAUCACAGGAGGCAAUAUAAAGUGACGUUCCUCCGCACUAAGAGGACACGCAUCCAAACCUCAAAAGCGCAUGACAACCUCUGCUUCCCUCUGCGAAGGGCCUUUCUUGUACCUUUACUUUUUGCCCUUGUAAGAGUCAUGGUGAUCUUCACCAAUUCCCUAUUUUGCCUUUGUCUUGGCUACCGUCACAUGCUUGGGAAAGAUCUAUAUUCAUAUAUCAACUUGGAGAUGAGUACUUAUGCUUUAUUAUUGUUGACUUUACCCUUGAGGUAAAUGGUUGGGAGGCAAAACUAUAAGCCCCUAUCUUCCUCUGUGUCUAGCUGAAACUUUGAUACCAUGAGUACCACGUGAGUUGUAACAAUUGUGGAAAAAAGAGAUGAUUGAGUAUGUGGGUUUGCUUUACAAGCUCUUAUUUGACUCUUUCUGAUGUUAUGAUAAAUUGCAAUUGCUUCAAUGACUAUGGACUGUUGUUGGCUACUUCUGGGUAAAGUUUUUGUUUCAUACUUUGCCUUGUGAAGGAAUUGUUACUUUCUCAUAAGAAUCUUUAGGAUGUAUUGCUGUUCUAUGUGUGAUCAUGAUGCCCUCAUGUCCGUAUUAUGUUUUAUCAACACCUUCAUCCCUAAACAUGUGGACAUGUUUAUGGAACUUGGUUUUUGCUUGAGGACAAGCGAGGUCUAAGCUUGGGGGAGUUGAUACGUCCAUUNNNNNNNNNNNNNNNNNNNNNNNNNNNNNNNNNNNNNNNNNNNNNNNNNNNNNNNNNNNNNNNNNNNNNNNNNNNNNNNNNNNNNNNNNNNNNNNNNNNNCUUCUCUCUAUCUGCUGCCGUGGUCGGUGACCGAGUCUUACUCAAUCUCAUACCUUGCAAAACUGGCAAGAACCCUUUCUUUGAGUUUUCCAUAUUGAACUUCUUCAAUAUCUUGUCAAGGUAUGUACUUUGCGAAAGACCUAUGAGGCGUCUUGAUCUAUCUCUAUAGAUCUUGAUGCCUAAUAUGUAUGCAGCUUCUCCAAGGUCCUUCAUUGAAAAACUCUUGUUAAAAUAGGCCUUUAUGCUCUCCAACAUCUCUAUAUGAGGAAAGCUACAGAGCUCCCACUCACUUUCUUGUACAGACAGGCUUCUCCGUAAACCUGUAUGAACCCAAACGCUUUAAUCACCUCAUUAAAGCGAAUGUUCCAACUCCGAGAUGCUUGCACCAGCCCAUAGAUGGAGCACUGGAGCUUGCACACUUUGUUAGCACCCUUAGGAUCGACAAAACCUUCUGGUUGCAUCAUAUACAACUCUUCCUUAAGGUUCCCGUUAAGGAACGCUGNNNNNNNNNNNNNNNNNNNNNNNNNNNNNNNNNNNNNNNNNNNNNNNNNNNNNNNNNNNNNNNNNNNNNNNNNNNNNNNNNNNNNNNNNNNNNNNNNNNNGAAGAAGAAGAGAAAUGGACGAAUUGGGUUGGAAAUUUUCGAAGUCCCGCUUAUAUAGGUGGAUCUAUAGUCCCGGUGCGUGACUUGGGCCGGGACUAAAGCCCCUCCUCGGCUGCACGAUAAGUUUAGUCCCACCUCGCCCAGCGAGGGGGACUAACACUUGUUUAUAAGCCCCGUCGCAGCUUCUCCAUCGAGCUCCUCUCUAAAGCAGGCUUAUGGGUCUAAACUCACUGAAAAUUGUAACUAUAUUAGAAAUUAUAGGGAAAAUUCAAUCUAAAUUCAAAUGAGAAUUUAGGUUGAAUUUUCUCUAUGAUCUCGAAUAUAGUUUCAAUUUUUUUUUAUUUUCAUAAUUAAUAAUUUUGACUAUCCAAACUAUUAUCUAUUUUUUUAUUUUCAAUUAAAAACUAUGUUUAUUAAUAUUUUUUUUGCAUAUUUGAGAAUUUGACAAAACUAUGAUAAUGAAAAGUGUUUCAAAUUGAAUAAAUAAUGCAAAACUAUUUUUUAUUUUCAUAAUUAAUAAUUUUGACUAUCCAAACUAUUAUCUAUUUUGUUAUUUUCAACUAAAAACUGUGUUUAUUAAAAAUUCUUUUUGCAUAUUUGAGAAUUUGACAAAACUAUGAUAAUGAAAAGUGUUUGAAAUUGAAUAAAUAAUUCAAAACUAUUUUCUAUUUUCAAAAGUAAUUAUUUUGACUAUCCAAACUAUUAACUAUUUUGUUAUUUUCAAUUAAAAACUGUGUUUAUUAAAAAUUCUUUUUGCAUAUUUGAGAAUUUGANNNNNNNNNNNNNNNNNNNNNNNNNNNNNNNNNNNNNNNNNNNNNNNNNNNNNNNNNNNNNNNNNNNNNNNNNNNNNNNNNNNNNNNNNNNNNNNNNNNNGCUGCUGGGGUUUUCCUAAACCUAUAUCUCAAUGCAAAUUGUAGUUCUGAAUUCUCAUGCUUCUGAAGAGGUGGACUGUCGGGCGACGUCAGGAGUACAGAAUUAAAACAGACGACAGUAAGGAAGUUAUUUAUUAUGUUACAGGUAGUGCAACGGUUUGAGAAGGUCAAUACGUAAAAUACCAUUGUUUUGUAGUAGAAUUAACGAAGAAGACAGCUUAUGUAAAAAACCUGAAAAACAACAAUGUACUGUAGGAUACAACUUAUAUAUAGCCAGAAUUUGGUUCACAUGUUAAUCAAAACAUUUGCAAUAUGCUAAAUCAAAUACUAGAAAUCAGUAUCUUCUUUUUAAGGGUGAAAACACAUAUUUGCGAAGUUCUAAAGUUUCUGCCAGCUAGCUGCACAUAGUACCAAAUGGCAAAACUGAAUUAUAUUGUUUCCACUCAACAACUUCUACUUAGAGCAUCCCUAACCGAUACCUUAUAAUCUAGAGGAGCAAACCGCACGGUAUCCUAAACUUACAUUUCUCCUCUAUAAAAGUGUGGUUCCUUA
rnacentral:lncRNA from 1 species